rnacentral:rRNA from 1 species
GAUGAACGCUGGCGGCGUGCCUAAUACAUGCGAGUCGAGCGAACAGACGAGGAGCUUGCUCCUCUGACGUUAGCGGCGGACGGGUGAGUAACACGUGGAUAACCUACCUAUAAGACUGGGAUAACUUCGGGAAACCGGAGCUAAUACCGGAUAAUAUAUUGAACCGCAUGGUUCAAUAGUGAAAGACGGUUUUGCUGUCACUUAUAGAUGGAUCCGCGCCGCAUUAGCUAGUUGGUAAGGUAACGGCUUACCAAGGCGACGAUGCGUAGCCGACCUGAGAGGGUGAUCGGCCACACUGGAACUGAGACACGGUCCAGACUCCUACGGGAGGCAGCAGUAGGGAAUCUUCCGCAAUGGGCGAAAGCCUGACGGAGCAACGCCGCGUGAGCGAUGAAGGUCUUCGGAUCGUAAAACUCUGUUAUUAGGGAAGAACAAAUGUGUAAGUAACUAUGCACGUCUUGACGGUACCUAAUCAGAAAGCCACGGCUAACUACGUG